rnacentral:rRNA from 1 species
UACGUAGGGGGCAAGCGUUGUCCGGAUUUAUUGGGCGUAAAGCGCGUGUAGGCGGCCACACAGGUCCGCUGUGAAAACUCGAGGCUCAACCUCGAGCUGUCGGUGGAAACCGUGUGGCUAGAGUCCGGAAGAGGAGACUGGAAUUCCCGGUGUAGCGGUGGAAUGCGCAGAUAUCGGGAGGAACACCAGUGGCGAAGGCGACUUCCUGGCCUGUUCUUGACGCUGAGGCGCGAAAGCUAGGGGAGCAAACGGG